rnacentral:rRNA from 1 species
AGAUUGAACGCUGGCGGCAUGCCUUACACAUGCAAGUCGAACGGCAGCACGGGAGCAAUCCUGGUGGCGAGUGGCGAACGGGUGAGUAAUAUAUCGGAACGUGCCCAGUCGUGGGGGAUAACGGCAGCGAAAGCUGUGCUAAUACCGCAUACGAUCUCGUGGAUGAAAGCGGGGGACUCGGCAAGGAGCCUCGCGCGAUUGGAGCGGCCGAUAUCAGAUUAGCUAGUUGGUGGGUAAAAGCCCACCAAGGCGACGGAUCUGUAGCUGGUACUGAGAGGACGACCAGCCACACUGGAACCUGAGACACGGCCAGACUCCUACGGGAGGCAGCAGUGGGGAAUUUUGGACAAGUGGGCGAAAAGCCUGAUCCGAGGACAAUGACCGCGUGCGACGGAUUAGAA